AGGAAAGGAAAUUUUUAUAAUAAUAAAGUUAUAAUAGAGACUACAUUUAUAGCUUGUAAUUUAUAUUGCAUGAUAUAUAUAGUGUAUUUCAAUAACAUUUACUUGUUUUUCUCUGACCAUCUCUCUCUCUCUCAGACGGCUCAGGCGUUGUUUUAAUGUCUUGCCACUAGAAGGCGCUCUUUACUGAAUGAAGAUGUACCAAACCCUUCAAGCUCCUGUUGUCAAUCCACAGUCUCAUAACAGAAGAGAAGAUACAGAAUGAUCCAAUGAUCCUUCCUCUCAAACUCACACAGAACCUGAGCAACAGACACAAGAGCUUGAUUUGCUGAAAAAGUGAAAGUGAAACAAAACACGAACAGUUGAUGAAGCAAACCCUGAGAGAAAGUUUAGUCUAAAUGUUGAUCCACUGAGAUGAACACAAACAUCAUGUCAUUAUAAUAAAACCACAAACACUUGGAAUUGUGCUGGAACAAGUUUAAUUAAAAAAGUGACAUGUUGUCUCUUCCUUUUCAUUCACAUACAAAAUGUAAAGGAACGACAGAUUGCCAGAGUAAGAGAGAAAGUGUAAAGCUCUGUGUUGAACAGAUCAAAGAAAAUCAGAGAAGAAGUCAAGCAGAUAGAGAAUACAGUACUGGCCCGGGACAGAGGAGAGAUCGAUCGCUGAUGAUUCAACAUUCAUAAGACAGAUGAGGUAAAACACUGCCGCUCCACACUAACAUCAGCACUACACAACGCUUGCAUUGCUACUGUUUUCAGUUUCAAGUUAAUUAUUAGAAUAGUGACAAUAAUAAUAUAACAACAACCAUUAUAAAAUCCUCCAGUAAGGUUUAAAUUCUAGUGAGAUAUAGUGUAAGCAGUGUUAGAGAGAACAGAA